AGUUAGGGAUGUAGUGGGGGACAACUACAGAGCUUGUCUUGUGUUCCUAGGGCACAUGCCGUGUCCCAACUGCAGAUUUUUGCAGAGGCAGGGAGGAGCCAACUAUGCCAUAGGAGAAGCAGAGGGCGGGAAGGGCUGUGUCCUGCCCCAGGCUCCCUGGGGGCUUACUGUGUAAACUUUAGUGGCCAUUCACAGCAGGUUCCCAGUAGAAAUGCUUCCUAUAUCUCCUUGAAAUGUUUAUGCAUUUGUUUUCCUUGGCCAGAGAUGGACAGCUGCAGAGUGCCUGGCUGAGGAAGUUGGUUUCCCUGCAAUGACCUUGUUUAUCGGCCUGGGGAGGAAAAGUAUCUUUUCAAUGAAACCCACUUAGUCUCCUUGCCAGGGGCUCUUUGGCAGGGCUAGAGAAAACAAACAAUUCCCAGCAUUACUGCAGAAGGUUGACCCAACAAAGCACAGAGCUUGCUCUUCUCGGAGCCCUGAUGCAGAUACACAAGUACUACGCUGUGGAGAGGAAGGUAGGCAGAGAUGGGUAUAACUGCUCCCAGGCUUUGAAGCCUUUUCAGUAACACUCUUAGGGCUGUAGGACCGAAACCCCUCCUCACAAGGGGACAGUGUUCUCUGUGGGUGCAGUGGUAGGCGUCACAGCCCUCUCCCGAACUGCAUUAAAAACAUUAAUGCUCACAUACAUAUGUGCUAAGGGCCUGUACUUUUCUGUCUCUGUUACUCUAAGUGGAGACAAAUUCCUACUCUUUUUCUGUUGACUUUGCUUUCUCUUUAGCAUUUGCUUCUUGAUCUAGAGAGGGACACACAGGCCGUGACUGUUGAUUUUUGACAUUAUGCAGCGUGUGUGGAACCUGUGUAAUGGCCACUUAACUCCAAACUCUCCUGAGGAAAGUCCUCCCUUCCCCUGAGAUGUUCAUCUGAACAGGUGCCGGGGCAGCCUGUUUUCACUUCCCAGCCUUGCUCCAGGAGACCUCCAGACCCAGAACCACCCCUGGCUCUUUCAGAGAAGAGGGUCAGCCAGACAGUUGUUUGCUGUUUUGACUUUGUAUUGAUUCUUUUCGAGUUUCCCAUCAUGCACCUCAGUCCUGCUCAUCUCCUCAUAGCCAUCCUUUGCCCUUGCAACCUCCCCAGCCAAACAAAAAACAAAACAGCCCCCUCCCCCCCAAGCAAAGCAGAGAAAACAUCUCAUUGUAGAAGCUGUAUCAUGUCACUGUGUGUCCCCUUUGGUCCACGCACCUUCACUGGUAAAUGUUCAUUGCAAUGAGUCAUUGGUCUGGUUUGAGGUCUCUGGCUUCUGUGACACCAUUAAUAUUGAAUCCUCACUGGUACUUCUUCCAGUUAUCCUGUUGUUGCCCUGUGUCAUGGAGAUCCUGCAGCUUUGACAGCAGAACCGACCCUUUUACUUGUCCCAGCUGCUCACAGAUGAUGUAGAUUUUGGGGUGGGCCAACUCAGAGCCCUGGAUCUGGGCCUGUGAGGUAGCUGAGUUGGUCAGCCCUUGGCUGUCUCUUAUCAGCACCACCAGGGUGAGCUCUCCAGCACUGCCUUGUCUAGGCCACCCCAUGCCUCCAUUGCAGGAAGCAAUGUUAACUCUCUUGCUCUCAUGCCCAUGCUCUCACCUGCACCCACACCUCCAGAGCCAGCUCCACUGUGCUGCCCAGUCAAGGUUCAGGACCCACUCUCCCAAGUGCUGCAGCCUGAAAGGGGCAAGGACAGCUCUUUUGCUCUCAUGACACCCCUCCCCCCUCAACCGGGGUCAGUUCCUCCUACUGCCACAGGUGGUGGGGGAUGAGAGGGCUAAGGGCACCCCUGCACCCACGCCACCUUAAUGCAGACCAAUGGCAGGCCAACUAUGCCUCUCUCACAGCUCACACUCUUGGGGUGAGCUCACCCACACCCCUGUACUGCCCAGUGAAGAUGCAGGACCUACUCUCCUGAGUGCUGAGUGCUGGGCUAGCUCCACUGGGCUCAGUCUUCCCAAUUGCUGGAGGUGGCAAGAGGUGUGGGGAUCACCUCUCCCAAACCACCACUACCAGGGCCCACUCCAUGGUGCUGCCUGGGUGAGGUACAGGGCCCCUUUCACUGUCAGUGAGAUGAA
rnacentral:lncRNA from 1 species